rnacentral:rRNA from 1 species
UACAGAGGUGGCAAGCGUUGUUCGGAAUUACUGGGCGUAAAGGGCGCGUAGGCGGUCUUGUAAGUCUUGUGUGAAAUCCCUCGGCUUAACUGAGGAACUGCACGGGAUACUGCGAGACUUGAGAUCGGGAGAGGGAAGCGGAAUUCCGGGUGUAGCGGUGAAAUGCGCAGAUAUCGGGAAGAACACCCGUGGCGAAGGCGGCUCUCUGGGACGGUACUGACGCUGAGGCACGAAAGCGUGGGGAGCAAACAGG